rnacentral:rRNA from 1 species
AGUGAACGCUGGCGGUAGGCCUAACACAUGCAAGUCGAACGGCAGCACAGUAAGAGCUUGCUCUUACGGGUGGCGGGUGGCGGACGGGUGAGGAAUACAUCGGAAUCUACUUUUUCGUGGGGGAUAACGUAGGGAAACUUACGCUAAUACCGCAUACGACCUACGGGUGAAAGCAGGGGAUCUUCGGACCUUGCGCGAUUGAAUGAGCCGAUGUCGGAUUAGCUAGUUGGCGGGGUAAAGGCCCACCAAGGCGACGAUCCGUAGCUGGUGUGAGAGGAUGAUCAGCCACACUGGAACUGAGACACGGUCCAGACUCCUACGGGAGGCAGCAGUGGGGAAUAUUGGACAAUGGGCGCAAGCCUGAUCCAGCCAUACCGCGUGGGUGAAGAAGGCCUUCGGGUUGUAAAGCCCUUUUGUUGGGAAAGAAAAGCAGCAGGUUAAUACCCCGCUGUUCUGACGGUACCCAAAGAAUAAGCACCGGCUAACUUCGUG